rnacentral:rRNA from 1 species
CCUACGGGAGGCUGCAGUAGGGAAUAUUGCACAAUGGGGGAAACCCUGAUGCAGCAACGCCGCGUGGAGGAUGAAGGUUUUCGGAUUGUAAACUCCUUUCGUUAGAGAAGAUGAUAACGGGUACUAAAGUAUAAGCCCCGGCUAACUACGUGCCAGCAGCCGCGGGAAUACGGAGGGUGCCAGCGUUACUCGGAAUUACUGGGCGUAAAGAGCGCGUAGGCGGGCUAGCAAGUCAGUUGUGAAAUCCUCGGGCGUAACCCUAGAACUGCCUUUGAAACUGUAAUUCUGGAGUAUGGGAGGGGUAGGUGGAAUUCCUGGUGUAGGGGUAAAAUCCGUAGAGAUCAAGAGGAAGAC